AGUGAACGCUGGCGGUAGGCCUAACACAUGCAAGUCGAACGGCAGCACAGUAAGAGCUUGCUCUUACGGGUGGCGAGUGGCGGACGGGUGAGGAAUACAUCGGAAUCUACUUUUUCGUGGGGGAUAACGUAGGGAAACUUACGCUAAUACCGCAUACGACCUACGGGUGAAAGCAGGGGAUCUUCGGACCUUGCGCGAUUGAAUGAGCCGAUGUCGGAUUAGCUAGUUGGCGGGGUAAAGGCCCACCAAGGCGACGAUCCGUAGCUGGUCUGAGAGGAUGAUCAGCCACACUGAGACUGAGACACGGUCCAGACUCCUACGGGAGGCAGCAGUGGGGAAUAUUGGACGAUGGGCGCAAGCCUGAUCCAGCCAUACCGCGUGGGUGAAGAAGGCCUUCGGGUUGUAAAGCCCUUUUGUUGGGAAAGAAAAGCAGCAGGUUAAUACCCCGCUGUUCUGACGGUACCCAAAGAAUAAGCACCGGCUAACUUCGU
rnacentral:rRNA from 1 species